rnacentral:lncRNA from 1 species
CCUUAGAUCAAGCAGCUAUUGUCCCACUAAUUAGAAAUGAUAUUCCUGUAUGUUAUGUUUUUGCAAGUAUUUAUCCAAUUGCAGUUUAAACAUCUGUAUAGACUCUGACAAAACCACCUCUUCAGGCAGAGAAUUCCAUAUCCUUAUUGCUCUUACUGUAAAAAAAAAAAACCUUUUCUUUGCCUUAGAUGAAAUCUCCUUUCUUCCAGCCUAAAUGUGUGAC